UGGGGAAUUUUGCGCAAUGGGCGAAAGCCUGACGCAGUAACGCCGCGUGGAGGAUGAAGGCCUUCGGGUUGUAAACUCCUGUCAGGAGGAACGACGGGGCUAGAGUGAAUAAUUCUAGUCCCCAGACGGUACCUCCAAAGGAAGCCCCGGCUAAUUCCGUGCCAGCAGCCGCGGUAAUACGGAAGGGGCAAGCGUUGUUCGGAAUCAUUGGGCGUAAAGGGCGCGUAGGUGGUCUUGUGUGUCUAUCGUGAAAGCACACGGCUCAACCGUGUAAAGUCGGUGGAAACUGCAGGACUUGAGGUUGGGAGGGGCUGGUGGAAUUCCCUGUGUAGCGGUGAAAUGCGUAGAGAUGGGGGAGAACACUUGUGGCGAAGGCGGCCAGCUGGACCAAUCCUGACACUGAGGCGCGACAGCGUGGGGAGCAAACAGG
rnacentral:rRNA from 1 species